rnacentral:misc_RNA from 1 species
GCCUGUUGGUUGAAUCUAUCUUUAUACCGACGAUUUAGAUGGGGAUUGCCAACGAUAAGGAGAUUUUUCCUCUGAUGAGCUCAAAAGUGAAUGAAGACAAGGGCAAGCACCAAUUCAUUUGCUCAUGGGAGAGUGAAGAAUGAGAUUUCUACCAAUAUGGGCCCACUAGGCUCAAGACUUUAGGUUCAAGGCUAAGAAAAAAAAAAAAGAGUG